GCGCACCAGGCGCGAAACUUUACAAUGUGCGAAAGCACGAUAAGGGAACUCUGAGUGCCUCCUAAGGGGCUGUUCAGGUGUCUAAAAGCACCUGAAGGAAGGGCUAGGUAAGACCGGUGCCAGCCGCCGCGGUAACACCGGCAGCCCAAGUGGUAGCCACGUUUAUUGGGUCUAAAGCGUCCGUAGCCGGCUGGGUAAGUUCCUUGGGAAAUUUGGCUGCUUAACAGUCAAGCUUUCAGGGAAUACUGCCCGGCUUGGGACCGGGAGAGGUCAGAGGUACUCCAGGGGUAGGGUGAAAUCCAUUAAUCCUUGGGGGACCACCGGUAGCGAAGGCGUCUGACCAGACCGGGUCCGACGGUGAGGGACGAAGGCUA
rnacentral:rRNA from 1 species